ensembl:vault_RNA Vault Vault RNA
GCGUUGGUUUAGCUCAGUGGUUACUUCAACAAGCAAAAACUAGCUCUUGGUUGACGGUCACCGACGGCCAGAGAUCAAACCACGGGCUCUGUCCAACGUUUUG